rnacentral:rRNA from 1 species
CCUACGGGAGGCAGCAGUGGGGAAUAUUGCACAAUGGACGAAAGUUUGAUGCAGCAAUGCCGGGUGUGUGAAGAAGGCCUUCGGGUUGUAAAGCACUUUCAGAUGUGAGGAAAAGCAGUCUAUUAAUACUAGAUUGGCCGUGACGUUAACAUCAGAAGAAGGACCGGCUAACUCCGUGCCAGCAGCCGCGGUAAU